UACCAGCACCCCGAGUGGUCGGGACGAUUAUUGGGCCUAAAGCAUCCGUAGCCGGCCUUACAAGUCCUCCGUUAAAUCCAGCUGCUUAACAGAUGGGCUGCGGAGGAUACUAUAAGACUAGGAGGCAGGAGAGGCAAGCGGUACUCAGUGGGUAGGGGUAAAAUCCGUUGAUCCAUUGAAGACCACCAGUGGCGAAGGCGGCUUGCCAGAAUGCGCUCGACAGUGAGGGAUGAAAGCUGGGGGGAGCAAACCGG
rnacentral:rRNA from 1 species